rnacentral:lncRNA from 1 species
UGUAAUAUGGAAUACAAUGAUUUGCUAACCCCUUUACCAGUGGGGGAGGGCGGCUUAUAUAGAGUGCGCUGCCCUCCACAACGGUUCCGGUACGGGGGUGGAGUAGUGGGGAUUGAAUGCGCACGUUACAGGUAACGUAUGCUCUAAAUGCUAAUAAAUGCACCCGGAAACGUACGACCGUUUCCCUCCAGAGAGGUUACGAUGUACCGAGUGUAUCCAGUCGGUUAGCUUGGUAU